GUUCGAUUCUGGCUCAGAUUGAACGCUGGCGGGAUGCUUUACAUGCAAGUCGAACGGCAGCACGGACUUCGGUCUGGUGGCGAGUGGCGAACGGGUGAGUAAUGUAUCGGAACGUGCCUAGUGGCGGUGCUACGCGGCGUAGCUAAUGCCAUACGCCCUUCGGGGAAAGCGGGGGACCGAUUCGGGCCUCGCACUAUUAGAAACGGCCGAUAUCGGAUUAGCUAGUUGGUGGGGCGCGGCUCGCAAGGCGAUCCGUAGCUGGUUUGAAGGGGACGACCAGCCACGCCAGGACUGAGACAGCCCAGACUCCUACGGAGAGCAGCAGUGGGGGUACACUGGACAAUGGGGAAACCCUGAUCCAGCCAUCCCGCGUGUGCGAUGAAGGCCUUCAGGUUGUAAGCCCACUUUUUGGCAGGAAAAACGGCACGGGGGAUAGUACCCCGUGCAACUGACGGUACCUGCAGAGCCGGCACCGGCUAACUACGUGCCCAGCAGCCACAUGACGUGGCGCAUGCGGGUACAGGGGUAAUCGGAAUUACUGGGCGUAAAGCGUGCGCAGGCGGUUCGGAGAGAAGAUGCCAGAAAUCCCAGAGCUUAACUUUGGAACUGCAUUUUUAACUACCGAGCUGAAAUUAUGUCGGGGAGGUGGAAUUCCCGCGUGUAGCAGUGAAAUGCAUCGAUAUGCGGAGGAACACCGAUGGCGAAGGCAGCCUCCUGGGGAUACUGACGCUCAUGCACGAAAGCGUGGGGAGCAAACGGGAUGAAUGCCUGGUAGUCCACGCCUAAACGAUGUCAACUAGCUGUUGGGGCCUUCGGGCGCUGAUGACGCAGCUAACGCGUAGAAGUUGACCGCCUGGGAAUACAGUCCUCGAAUUCAAACUCAAAGGAAUUGACGGGGACCCGCACAAGCGGUGGAUGAUGUGGAUUAAUUCGAUGCAACGCGAAAAGCCUUUUUCCCUUGACAUGUCUGGAAUCCCGAAGAGAUUUGGAGUGCUCGCAAGAAGAACCGGAACACAGGUGCUGCACUGGCCUGUCGUCAGCUCGUGUCGUGAGAUGUUGGGUUAAGUCCGCAACGGGCGCAACCCUUGUCAUUAGUUGCUACGAAAGGGCACUCCUAAUGAGACUGCUGCCGGUGACAAACUGGAGGAAGGUGGGGAUGACGUCAGAGUCCUCAUGGCCCUUAUGGUAGGGCUUCACACGUCAUACAAUGGUCGGGACAGAGGGUCGCCAACCCGCGAGGGGGAAUAAUCCCAGAAACCCGAUCGUAGUCCGGAUCGCAGUCUGCAACUCGACUGCGUGAAGUCAGAAUCGCUAGUAAUCGCCCGGAUCAGCAUGUCGCGGUGAAAUACGUUCCCGGGUCUUGUAUGCCGUCACCUGCAGGAGUGGGUUUUGCAAGAAGCAGUUAGCCUAACCGUAAGGAGGCGAUUACCACGGUAGGAUUCAUGACUGGGGUGAAGUCGUAAGCAAGGUAG
rnacentral:rRNA from 1 species